AUGAGUGUUGAGGCUCGCGGUGGCUAUCGUUAUGUUCUCACCCUCACUGAUGAUUUAAGUAGGUAUGGGUAUAUCUACUUAAUGAAACACAAGUCUGAAACCUUUGAAAAGUUCAAGGAAUUUCAGAGUGAGGUUGAAAAUCAACGUGACAGGAAAAUCAAGUUUCUACGAUCGGAUCGUGGAGGAGAAUACUUGAGUCACGAGUUUGGGGCACACUUAAGAAAAUGUGGAAUAGUUUCACAACUCACGCCGCCUGGAACACCUUAG
rnacentral:rRNA from 1 species